UCCUCUAAAGUCAUUUGAAAUGCUUCACAGAAGAUAGCAAGAUUUGGAAGAAGAGGCAAAACAUUUCCUGUAAAUACCAUCGCUGGGAUGAAUUCUCACUCUCCUGUCCCUCCAUCAAACAGAAAUCUAUAUUGUGCCUUGAGUUGAGCUCCAGAGAAAUUAUCAAUAUUCACACAUCUGGCACAAAUCUGUUGGAAGAAAAAAAAACCAUCAUGCCAUCUGUAUUUCUUCAAUCGUUUUAUAGCACAGCUCCAGUCUCUGGCCAUCAUUUUGUCACUCGGUCUUGUAAAUAUAAAGUUAUAUUACUUUUUGGCUUGUUUGAGGACACCGUUCAUCAUAAGGGGAGGAUGAAGAGAUGAUGUCACUGCCGGGAAAAAAAAAAACAAAACACAACAACUUCGCCUUUCUCAAUCCCCCACCUUCCCCAGAGUGUGGAGGAGCCAAAUUUCAUCUAGUUUGGCACAGUUGUAGGAAUUAACAUGACUGAAAUGUAUGCCAGAUUUCAAAACAAUUUCUAACAGUUUCUGUGAGACCGUGUAAGCAACUGAAAAUUGACAUGUUGUGUUGUGCCCGAGUCAGCCAACUGCUGUCACUGCAUAAUUAGAUUUUCCUGCAUGAGAGGAAAAAGUGUUCCCUUAAAAAAUUAUGAAAUAAAGCAGAAGCUAAUAUAAAAUACAAGUGGGCCCGUUAUUCACAUAGAGGUAGCCUUCCGCCAAAGAAUGACUUUGGACACACACACACGUGCACGCACACACACUCACACACACACAACUCCAGGAGAGGCUGAUGGCCCUGGAUUUCUGCGCUUUACAUGCAAGAAAUGCUCUUUGCAAAGGGAAGAGGAUUUACGGCACAGGCCAGAUGGAAGUAGGCCCACUUGGCUGCCCAAGGAAUGGCUGAAACCCAGAAGCAAGAACAGAUUUGGAGCUAAUGAAUGUGCGGUUCCUUCCUUCUGAUAUGGAAUAAUAGAUGUGGCAGAGUAUGCCAGGUGCCCCCAAUACUUAUUCUCCCCUUGUCCAACAGUAACAGUAGUUUUUGUUUGGCACAAAGGAGCCCAGCUAAAGGCUAUAUUCCCCAGGCUCCCCUGCACCUCGAUAUAACCAUAUAACUAAGUUCUGGCGAAUGAGGUGUGAGAGGAAGUGGAAGUUUCCAGAUUCCAUGUCGUGUCCUUAACAGGAAAGGAGGGGUUCCCUCCGCUUUCUCCCCUCCCGUCUUCCUGAGGGUGGGAGCGCAGGCAUCUUUGUCCAGGAGGAUGAGAUCUAUACCAUGUGGACAAGAGCUG
rnacentral:lncRNA from 10 species